rnacentral:rRNA from 1 species
UACGUAGGGGGCAAGCGUUGUCCGGAUUUAUUGGGCGUAAAGAGCGUGUAGGCGGCCAGGUAGGUCUGCUGUGAAAACUCGAGGCUCAACCUCGAGCUGUCGGCGGAAACCAUCUGGCUAGAGUCCGGAAGAGGAGAGUGGAAUUCCUGGUGUAGCGGUGAAAUGCGCAGAUAUCAGGAAGAACACCUAUGGCGAAGGCAGCUCUCUGGGACGGUACUGACGCUGAGACGCGAAAGCGUGGGGAGCGAACAGG